AUACGGAGGGUGCGAGCGUUAAUCGGAAUUACUGGGCGUAAAGCGUGCGUAGGCGGUUUGCUAAGUCAGAUGUGAAAGCCCCGGGCUUAACCUGGGAACUGCAUUUGAUACUGGCAGACUAGAGUAUGAUAGAGGGGGGUAGAAUUCCUGGUGUAGCGGUGAAAUGCGUAGAUAUCAGGAGGAAUACCAGUGGCGAAGGCGGCCCCCUGGAUCAAUGCUGACGCUGAGGUACGAAAGCGUGGGGAGCGAACAGGAUUAGAAACCCCAGUAGUCC
rnacentral:rRNA from 1 species